CGGGACUUGAAUUUGCCCCCCAUUAGCUGCGUUCCCAAUUUUUAGACUCGAUGCCUCCUCUAGUGUUAUUUAUAAUCUCUAUGGAUGUGUGAAUGUGGGGAAUCUGGGAAUGUGUAUUAUGUGCAUGCAUGGAGUUUUGUAGUGAAAGAAAAAAGAGUUCGAGUGAAACUCCAAUAUAAAUUUAUCUUUCUGUUAAACGUGCACAUAAAUUGACCAAUCUUACAGUAUAUAUGAAAGUGGUAUAUACGAUUUCAAGAUGUCAGACGAGAUAGCUCUAACCACGGACGGCUGUUCAGAAAGUCCAUGUGUUUUGUGUUGGGAGACUGCAAGUUGGACGCAAUUAAAGGCAUAUAAACAAGGUGUAUGCCCAAGAAAAUGUUUAGCAUUGUUGUCACAAAGUUAUAUUUUAGCAGCACAGAACAGCAAGCCUUUUCUGCAAGUAUGGGAUAUCAGUAAGGUACGAAUCACAGGUUGAAAAAAUAUUUUGUUUUGGUGAUGUGCUGUACAUCAAUCCAUUCAAAAGAUUCACAACCAAUCCCAUGGGAUUCAAAGG